ACACACCAAAAAGGGUGACGCAUCCAAGAACCGGAAAUUGAGUCAUUGCUGGAUCCUCCAUAUGGUGGAUUCGGGCACCGUCCUGGGCCCCGCUGUAGUCGUGCUGGCUAGCGGUCACACAAAACGAGUGUCCAAAACUCAGAAACAAAUCGAGACAAUCCGUCAUCCGAUUAUUUAAAUAAAA
rnacentral:misc_RNA from 1 species